rnacentral:lncRNA from 1 species
CCCUAGUCUAAUAGCGAGUUCAGCGAACACCGGUUUGCUACAGAUGCAAAAAUCUUAACGCAUGUGUGGGGAAAGCGGGCGUAAAAAAAAGUCACCAUUCAGAAAAAAAAAGAAAAAGAAAAAAUCUCCAGUGUUUCACAACAGAUCUCAUCCUGUUACCAUAGUUAUAGCUUUCUAUACAAGAAAGGUAUAGUGCUAUCGUGUGCCCUUACACAAAUGCAUGUACAGACAAAAACAGAGACUGCUAAAUAUUUGCGUGUUGUGCAGAACCAGUGCACAGGGAUACGGCUCCCUGUACGGGAAUACAGUUCGGAGACUCCUAAGGCAUUUUUCUCGUUUUACAAAUUAUGACGGCUCAGAGGGCUGGGUACAUGAUCUCAUCUGCCCGGUGCUCGAAGGAAGGAGAAGGAAAGGGACCAGUGCAGAUGCGUAAGAAGGAAAGAAAGAAGCACCUUCUGAUCAGGUUAUUUUGUGCUCAGAAUUGCACGGAAACUUCGCUCCAGCAGGUAUUCAGAAGAAAUAUAACUAACGAACAAACUUGGUGGAGAAAGUCCUUAAAGCUUUUAUUCCUUCCUAGGCUUCCUGCAGCAUCGCAUCUUCAGCUAUGGCCUUAUUCAGAAAGAAGCCCAGACUUUGGACCAGGCCCCUGCGUCGUACAGACUUAGCAGGAGGGACCRACUUCUUGUGCGUGUGGCUUGUACAGCACAGAGCACCUGGCGCUUAACAAGUGGUAAGUAAUAAUAAUAACCGUCCACUAACUGCAUAACUGUUUUAAGUAUCUCACGUAAGUGGAUAACUUGAUUUGUAAAUAAACUACAUUUCAGGAAUAUUUCA